CAGUAGCCGCGGGAAUACGGAGGGUGCAAGCGUUAAUCGGAAUUACUGGGCGUAAAGCGCACGCAGGCGGUCUGUCAAGUCGGAUGUGAAAUCCCCGGGCUCAACCUGGGAACUGCAUUCGAAACUGGCAGGCUAGAGUCUUGUAGAGGGGGGUAGAAUUCCAGGUGUAGCGGUGAAAUGCGUAGAGAUCUGGAGGAAUACCGGUGGCGAAGGCGGCCCCCUGGACAAAGACUGACGCUCAGGUGCGAAAGCGUGGGGAGCAAACAGGAUUAGAUACCCGUGUAGUCCCUGUCUCUUAUAC
rnacentral:rRNA from 1 species